rnacentral:rRNA from 1 species
ACAUGCAAGUCGAACGCCCCGCAAGGGGAGUGGCAGACGGGUGAGUAACGCGUGGGAACAUACCCUUUCCUGCGGAAUAGCUCCGGGAAACUGGAAUUAAUACCGCAUACGCCCUACGGGGGAAAGAUUUAUCGGGGAAGGAUUGGCCCGCGUUGGAUUAGCUAGUUGGUGGGGUAAAGGCCUACCAAGGCGACGAUCCAUAGCUGGUCUGAGAGGAUGAUCAGCCACAUUGGGACUGAGACACGGCCCAAACUCCUACGGGAGGCAGCAGUGGGGAAUAUUGGACAAUGGGCGCAAGCCUGAUCCAGCCAUGCCGCGUGAGUGAUGAAGGCCUUAGGGUUGUAAAGCUCUUUCACCGGAGAAGAUAAUGACGGUAUCCGGAGAAG